AGGCAGCGAGAUUGGAUGACGAUCUGAAAGAAUCCCAAAGCACGCAAGUAAAAAUCCCUAUGGUAGAUUCCAAGCACUCCUCAAAACAGCAUUGGGAUCAGCAACGGACAAAUAAUCAAUUCAAACGAAGAAAUAACGCUGAAACCAUUCAUGCACCUUAUUCACCGUUCCCCUAAGAAUGACGUACCGCGACUUGAUGUUUAUAU
rnacentral:lncRNA from 1 species